UAACAAAACCUACAUAAUAAUGCUUUUAAACCAUCGACCGUUCCUAGCACGAGUGGCAAAAAUUUGGUGGUUGGUAUCCGAAAUCCCAAGUUCGACUUCUAGUUGAUUCAUAUUUUCAGCUAAGUUUAUUUCUAAAUGAAAUAGACAAAGCGGGUAGCAGUUGUAGUUUCAUUGCAACCGGAUGCUGUUACUGGAUCUUUU
rnacentral:lncRNA from 1 species